UACGUAGGGGGCAAGCGUUGUCCGGAUUUAUUGGGCGUAAAGAGCGUGUAGGCGGCCGCACAGGUCCGUUGUGAAAACUGGAGGCUUAACCUUCAGACGUCGAUGGAAACCGUGCGGCUAGAGUCCGGAAGAGGAGAGUGGAAUUCCUGGUGUAGCGGGUGAAAUGCGCAGAUAUCAGGAAGAACACCCGUGGCUAAGGCGGCUCACUGGUCCAUUACUGACGCUGAGGUGCGAAAGCGUGGGGAGCAAACAGG
rnacentral:rRNA from 1 species